rnacentral:rRNA from 1 species
GUAGGUGGCAAGCGUUGUCCGGAAUUAUUGGGCGUAAAGCGCGCGCAGGCGGUUCUUUAAGUCUGAUGUGAGAGCCCACGGCUCAACCGUGGAGGGUCAUUGAAAACUGGAGAACUUGAGUACAGAAGAGGAAAGCGGAAUUCCACGUGUAGCGGUGAAAUGCGUAGAGAUGUGGAGGAACACCAGUGGCGAAGGCGGCUUUCUGGUCUGUAACUGACGCUGAGGCGCGAAAGCGUGGGGAGCAAACAGGAUUAGAUACCCUGGUAGUCCACGCCGUAAACGAUGAGUGCUAAGUGUUAGGGGGUUUCCGCCCCCCUUAGUGCUGCAGCUAACGCAUUAAGCAUUCCGCCUGGGAGUACGGCCGCAAGGCUG